CUGUGGUCUCCAAGAAGCCCUCCAAUUCAGCUCAGAACCCCUCGAAGGGCAAAAGGGGUUCUAAGGGCUCCUUCGGCUCCCUUCCCACCAUGUUUACCUCUUUCCAUGACCACCCCUUCCUUCUUUCCCUGUCUCUCUCCCACAGGUCUUGUCCCAAUCUCAAUUGGGGCUCAAGCCAUAGACCCCUUGACUGGGGAACCUGGUCCUGUCAUCGGUGCCCGGACAGAUCCCUGUGUUGGAGUGGUGGUGCCCAUUGUCCAAGUACUGGAGGCCCUACCUCGGGGAGUGAGAAACCUUGAUCUGCUGGAUACCCUAGAGCAGGAGCGGAGAGCCCGGGAGCAGUACUGGUGCCACCAGGAGCAGGAAGAGGGGCGUCUAGCAGAACAGCUGGGGCACCUGAGCUGGGAGCUCCUCUCCAUUCCAGGCGGAGAUGCCCGGCAGCAGGUGAGGCCCAGAGGAACCUCCUCACGCAUCCACCCACCCCUUUACCCAGACUCCACAGCUUUUUCCUGCAGCGUGGGGCCUUUGUCUCCCCCGCUGGCUGCAAAAAUGGAACCCUUCUCAAGGCAGACUGAGCCCCAGAUUGUUCUGGCUCCAAGCCCUAGACUCGGGCCACCCCUGAGGGUCUCAGGGUAGAGGAGAAGGAGGCAGGGCCCCCGUGAGGUGGUGCAGCCCAGAGCUCCGGCCUCCCUCUCUGAGGCCUUUCUUUUGUGCUUCCUGCCCUGUGCAGCUGAGGGCCGCUGAGGAGGCCCGCACAGCCCUGGAGUCCUGCUGCCUGCGGGAGUCCCAGAGGAGAGCCAGAGCCCUGAGCACGCAGAGCAGCCCAGAGUGGGGCCUGCUCUCUCAAGGUGGGACAGCAGCCCCUGGGCCCAGGGCCCAGAGCAGAAAUCUCCUGAGAGUGGGGACAUGUCCAACAGCUGCCCCAUGGGGAGUCCCUCCUUCCCUCCCAGGCUCCCCCAGCCAGGCCCUGGCUCUGAUCUCACAGCUCCAAUAAACUACCCUGUCUUUUCUUCUUCUCCCUGUCCCCAGAGGUGGCUGCUGUCAUGUGAUUCUUUUCUCUGCCCUUUGCAGCAGACAGAGAGGAGUGGGAGCAGGAGGCACAGAUGAUGCUAGCCAUGCAGAAUGUCCUGGAGAGUCUAGGACAGACAGUGGAAAAACUCAGGCAAGCAGUGGGCUGGCUGCGGGGCCAGGAGGAGGAGAUGUGGCUACAGAAGAGCAGGAGUCAGAGCCCCCGGAUCUGGAACCGUUCUAGCAAGGUGAGGAUCAGAGGUUGGUAAGGGACCCCUUGUGAAAUGAGCACAUCCUCUUGUGUAAACACGUGUGAUUCUUCAGGACAAUGUGAUAUUCAGGAAUAGGGCGGCCCAAGGAACAGUGGGUGGGCUGCAAAGGAAGCAGAAGGAGAGAAAGGAGCUUCAUUUUCAACUGGGCAUUUCAUUUCCUGUGCUCUAGGACCACCUAGAGCAUCUCACUGAUGAGUUUCAGGAGGUGGUAAGGAAGAGACAGAGCUUUCUGGAUCAGGCCCUUGGUCACUUGCAGUACCAACGGGAACUGAGCCGCCUCCACCUCUUGCACACCCAGGUACCGUCCAUGCACUUGGCCAAGGAGAUCUGCGUGUCUG
rnacentral:lncRNA from 1 species